GCCUAAAGCGUCCGUAGCCUGCUUUGUAAGUUUUCGGUUAAAUCCAUAUGCUCAACAUAUGGGCUGCCGGGAAUACUGCACAGCUAGGGAGUGGGAGAGGUAGACGGUACUCGGUAGGGAGGGGUAAAAUCCUUUGAUCUAUGGAUGACCACCAGUGGCGAAGGCGGUCUACCAGAACACGUUCGACGGUGAGGGAUGAAAGCUGGGGGAGCAAACCGGAUUAGAUACCCGGGUAGUCCCAGCUGUAAACUAUGCAAACUCGGUGAUGCGUUGGCUUGUAGCUAGCGCAGUGCCGCAGGGAAGCCGUUAAGUUUGCCGCCUGGGAAGUACGUACGCAAGUAUGAAACUUAAAGGAAUUGGCGGGGGAGCACCACAAGGGGUGAAGCCUGCGGUUCAAUUGGAGUCAACGCCAGAAAUCUUACCCGGAGAGACAGCAGAAUGAAGGUCAAGCUGAAGACUUUACCAGACAAGCUGAGAGGUGGUGCAUGGCCGUCGCCAGCUCGUGCCGUGAGGUGUCCUGUUAAGUCAGGUAACGAGCGAGACCCUUGCCUCUAGUUGCCACCAUUACUCUCAGGAGUAGUGGGGCGAAUUAGCGGGACCGCCGCAGUUAAUGUGGAGGAAGGAAAGGGCCACGGCAGGUCAGUAUGCCCCGAA
rnacentral:rRNA from 1 species